CGACUAGUUCCGGGUUCGAGUCCCGGGCAACCCA
rnacentral:tRNA from 1 species